rnacentral:lncRNA from 1 species
GAAAUUCCUUCCCAGGGUGGCAAGUGUCUGCCCCAAGAAAUGUGGGUACCAAAAUACACUAAAUGAAGGUUAAAAUAUUUGGGCCAGGUUUUCCGGAGGCAGGACUGAGCUGGGGAAGAAGAGAAGGUUUAAGUCUGAUAAGAGAUUGGCGAUCAUAUAUUGCAUUGGAUUACACUGUCUACUCAGUGAAAAAUGACACCGUUCCUUAGUUCCUGAGUGUUGCUGGGAAAACUAUGUAAUUUCCAUUCAAGAAUCGAAGUGAACAAUCUGAGAGAGGACGUCAAAAGGAGCG